rnacentral:rRNA from 1 species
UACGUAGGGUGCGAGCGUUGUCCGGAAUUAUUGGGCGUAAAGAGCGCGCAGGCGGUCGAUCAAGUCGAGUGUGAAAGCCCCCGGCUCAACUGGGGAGGGUCAUUCGAAACUGGUCGACUCGAAGGCAGGAGAGGGUAGUGGAAUUCCCGGUGUAGUGGUGAAAUGCAUAGAUAUCUGGAGGAACACCUAUGGCGAAGGCAGCUUACUGGACGAUAACUGACGCUGAGGCACGAAAGCGUGGGGGAGCAAAAAGG